CUGAAUACCCAAAAGAUUAACGUUAAAUAACACGGAAAAAUGGACUCCGAAAACUCAGUUUUUCAGUAGGAAUAACAAUUAACUAGGAGUAUCCUCAAAUCCAACGCAUCUAUAAAAAGUUUGAUCUUCUUCUUCAUCAUGCGUACAGAAAGCUCCAUGGUCUCAAAGAAAGCUCAAAGCUUAAGUAGUGUGUAAAAACUAAUUUUCUUCUUUGGUACAAAUGUACUGAUUCUUCUCAACAAGCUAGGUCCGGCAUACUUGUAUUUUCAUUCAAGUGUACAAAACAGAGACUAAUAACAUAAAAACUUUGAUCACAGAGCUUUUCUACCAAUUUUUUCAUUCUUUCCGUUACAGAGGGUGGACGCCAACGAGGAAGACAACAAAUUAUCUAUAAAAAUAAAAAAUAAAAAAUAAAAAAGAGUUGCAAUUGCGAAGCACACGCAAAAUCAAGGAACACACUCGAUCUACGUUCUAACCACCAUCAACACGCGAUCAAGAGAGUCAACUGAGAAAUGAUGCGCAAAACAGAAACAAUGAUAAUUAAUUAAUUAAAAAAAAAUUGACAACACGACGCAACAG
rnacentral:lncRNA from 1 species